rnacentral:rRNA from 1 species
UGAACGCUAGCGGCAGGCCUAAUACAUGCAAGUCGAACGGCAGUAGAACCAGCAAUGGGACUAUGAGAGUGGCGAACGGGUGCGUAACGCGUAUGCAACCUACCUCCAACUGGGGAAUAGCCCUGGGAAACCGGGAUUAACACCGCAUAAGAUGGUAGAACCGCAUGGUUCAGCCAUUAAAGUUUACGGUUGGAGAUGGGCAUGCGUGCCAUUAGCUAGUUGGCGGGGUAAUAGCCCACCAAGGCGACGAUGGCUAGGGGGUCUGAGAGGAUGAUCCCCCACACUGGUACUGAGAUACGGACCAGACUCCUACGGGAGGCAGCAGUAGGGAAUAUUGGUCAAUGGACGCAAGUCUGAACCAGCCAUGCCGCGUGCAGGAUGAAGGCGCUCUGCGUUGUAAACUGCUUUUGUACGGGAAGAAUAUAUCGUUUGCGAACGGUUUUGACGGUACCGUAAGAAUAAGGAUCGGCUAACUACGUGCCAGCAG